rnacentral:lncRNA from 1 species
UCUUGCUAGCAAUCCAGCCUGCUGCUCAGCAAACCCCCUUGCCGUUGGAGCUGCAGAUCUGUAGCUGCUAACGAGUCGAAAUGGCAUUAAAAGAGGAAGUCAACCUUUUGCACAGUUUCCUCUUGGAAACGAGGGACUGGCAGCACCCGUGCUGAACUUUCUGGUGUCGA